AUCCAGCCCAUGCAGCAAUUGCACCACCUGAUGGAGCGAUCAGUGGAAUCCCAAUUAUCCUGCGGAUUUUUCCCAGCAGCAGGACUAUUGACUGGAGGAGCAUGUGUUUGCACCAUGAUUCCAAUAUUUCCAGUAUAGUAGCGUCAAUUACACCAGAGGAGGGCAGACCAUUGUAGAUGUGUCAGAAUUCUGGAAUGAACUGCUUGCCUUGGGUCCUCUAAGGAUCAGAUUAACCUCAAGAAAAAUGCCUCUAAACCCCAACUUUAGGACCUGGAUUUGAUACAUGAUCAGACCGCCGAUUUUCACUACAAAAACUUUGAUAUUUGGCUCCUGAAGCUGGAGAGAGCAUUAACGCUGACUCAUUCAUUGAUGGAUUACGCCUAUGGGUUUAGUUAUGAUUUUUUUUUGUGUCAUUCUUCCUCUUUCACAUUUUGUGACUAGUUGAACUGCCUGGAAACUGGCAAACAUCUGCUUUCUUACUUUUUAAAAACUUUGCAAUCACUAAAACACUUGGCUAGAAAGAUCAUAUAAAGGAAAAAAAAAACAAACACAAACAC
rnacentral:lncRNA from 14 species